UACGUAGGUGGCAAGCGUUGUCCGGAUUUAUUGGGCGUAAAGGGCGCGUAGGCGGCUCUGCACGUCCGUUGUGAAAGCCCCCGGCUCAACUGGGGAGGGUCACGCGAUACUGAUCGACUCGAAGGCAGGAGAGGGAAGUGGAAUUCCCGGUGGUAGUGGUGAAAUGCGUAGAGAUCCGGAGGAACACCAGUGGCGAAGGCGACUUUCUGGCCUGUUCUUGACGCUGAGGCGCGAAAGCUAGGGGAGCAAACGGGG
rnacentral:rRNA from 1 species